rnacentral:pre_miRNA from 1 species
UUUCUACUCCCUCCGUCCGAAAAUACUUGUCAUCAAAAUGGAUAAAAAUAGAUGUAUCUAAAACUAAAAUACGUCUAGAUACAUUUCCUUUUAUCCAUUUUGAUGAAAGUAUUUCCGGACGGAGGGAGUAUUUG